rnacentral:rRNA from 1 species
AGAGUUUGAUCAUGGCUCAGAACGAACGCUGGCGGCGUGGAUAAGACAUGCAAGUCGAACGCUCUCUGACCGUAAGGUCGGAGGGAGUGGCGGACGGGUGAGUAAUACGUGGGUAAUCUACCCUCAAGUGAGGAAUACCGCCGGGAAACCGGUGACAAUACCGCAUAGGUUUGUGAGCAUAUCACGAACAAAGCUUCUUUCGGGAGGCGCUUGAGGACGAGCUUGCGUCCGAUUAGUUAGCUGGUGGGGUAAUGGCCUACCAGGACGAUGAUCGGUAGCUGGUCUGAGAGGAUGAUCAGCCACACUGGGAUUGAGAACGGCCCAGACUCCUACGGGAGGCAGCAGUGAGGAAUUUUCCGCAAUGGGGGCAACCCUGACGGAGCAACGCCGCGUGCAGGAUGAAGGUCUUCGGAUCGUAAACUGCUUUUUCCAGGGAAGAAACAAGACGGUACCUGGAGAAUAAGCCCCGGCUAACUACGUGCCAGCAGCCGCGGUAAAUC